rnacentral:misc_RNA from 1 species
GAUGAAGAACGCAGCGAAAUGCGAUAAGUAAUGUGAAUUGCAGAAUUCAGUGAAUCAUCGAAUCUUUGAACGCACAUUGCGCCCCUUGGUAUUCCGAGGGGCAUGCCUGUUCGAGCGUCAUUAUAACCCUCAAGCUCAGUUUGGUGUUGGGGCCUGCUGCACUGGCAGCCCUUAAAAUCAGUGGCGGCGCCAUCUGGCUCUAAGCGUAGUAAUUCUUCUCGCUAUGGAGUCCUGGUGGAUGCUUGCCAUCAACCCCCAAUUUUUCUAUGGUUGACCUCGGAUCAGGUAGGGAUACCCGCUGAACUUAAGCAUAUCAAAAGCGGAGGA